CAGGCUUAAUACAUGCAAGUCGAGGGCAGCGGNGUAGCAAUACUUGCCGGCGACGGCGCACGGGUGCGUAACACGUAUGUAAUCUGCCCAUCACAGGAGGAUAGCCCGGAGAAUUCGAUUAAUACUCCAUAAUAGAAGAUAAAGCAUUUUAUUUUCUUGAAAGUUCCGACGUGAUGGAUGAACAUGCGACUGAUUAGUUUGUUGGUGAGGUAACGGCUCACCAAGACUACGAUCAGUAGGGGUACUGAGAGGUUAAACCCCCACACUGGUACUGAGACACGGACCAGACUCCUACGGGAGGCAGCAGUAAGGAAUAUUGGACAAUGGCCGCAAGGCUGAUCCAGCCAUGCCGCGUGCAGGAAGACGGACCUAUGGUUUGUAAACUGCUUUUGAACGGGAGAAAACCCCCCCUACGUGUAGGGGGCUGAUAGUACUGUUAGAAUAAGCAUCGGCUAACUUCGUG
rnacentral:rRNA from 1 species